UACGUAGGGUGCAAGCGUUAAUCGGAAUUACUGGGCGUAAAGCGUGCGCAGGCGGUUUGGAAAGAAAGAUGUGAAAUCCCAGAGCUUAACUUUGGAACUGCAUUUUUAACUGCCAAGCUAGAGUAUGUCAGAGGGGGGUAGAAUUCCACGUGUAGCAGUGAAAUGCGUAGAGAUGUGGAGGAACACCGAUGGCGAAGGCAGCCCCCUGGGCCGAUACUGACGCUCAGGCACGAAAGCGUGGGGAGCAAACAGG
rnacentral:rRNA from 1 species